rnacentral:rRNA from 1 species
UACGUAGGGGCCUAGCGUUGUCCGGAUUUAUUGGGCGUAAAGAGCGUGUAGGCGGCCAGGUAGGUCUGCUGUGAAAACUCGAGGCUUAACCUCGAGCUGUCGGCGGAAACCAUCUGGCUAGAGUCCGGAAGAGGAGAAUGGAAUUCCCGGUGUAGCGGUGAAAUGCGCAGAUAUCGGGAAGAACACCCGUGGCGAAAGGCGGUUCUCUGGGACGGUACUGACGCUGAGACGCGAAAGCGUGGGGAGCGAACAGG